rnacentral:rRNA from 1 species
UACGAAGGGGGCUAGCGUUGCUCGGAAUCACUGGGCGUAAAGCGCACGUAGGCGGCUUUCUAAGUCAGGGGUGAAAUCCUGGAGCUCAACUCCAGAACUGCCUUCGAUACUGGCGAUCUCGAGUUCGGGAGAGGUGAGUGGAACUGCGAGUGUAGAGGUGAAAUUCGUAGAUAUUCGCAAGAACACCAGUGGCGAAGGCGGCUCACUGGCCCGAUACUGACGCUGAGGUGCGAAAGCGUGGGGAGCAAACAGG